GGCCCACAUUCAUUGAACACAUACACCAGCAUGGAGACAGCAACACAGAAAUCAGGGUCCACUGCAAAACCCAUCUGAAUUCUUAUCUGCCCCCACCCCCAGCAUACUUGGCAGCCUUCACUUCACUGGAUACUGCUGUGGUCAUGCUGCCAGCCAGCAUGUUUCAGUCCAGCUUUGGAGCAGCCCAGUGUUUCUGAGAAAUGCCUGCCAGGGAAGAGCUGGCUGCUCUCACCACACUGAGAGAUGGUUCAGGAAGACAAGUGUGGUGCCUCCCAGCACGAGAUGUUCUCAUGUCUCAGAUCAUGACCAAGCAUGAACCCAGGUAAUGAGAGGAGCAGUAAUGGUAAAAACAUACAUACUAACCUUUCAGGCUUCUACACAAGAAAGAGAAGUCACAUAAGUUACUAGGAUAGCUUAACUGCCAACAGUCAUUGGAACUCAUGUGUUUAGUUUGUCAGUGAAAAGUAUUCAAAGUAGUUUUCUCUGAAAUCGUCCUAUGAGUAAAAAUCAAAAAUAAGGACACUAGGGAGAUGUGUUAGUGAAUGGGCGAAAAGUAUGAAAGUUAGUGUAACUGCAUAAAUCAGAAGGUAUCCUUUUGCACAACAUCACAGAGAUUUCAGCAAGGUGCACAGUUCACUCCAACCAGCACUGCCACAGAGGCUGUCAUUACAGUGGCUGGUGGUGGUGGCUGGCAGGGAGCUCCGUGAGACAUUCCAUUUCUCUAGUAAUUGAGAGCCCAUUCCCUGCCAGUUGCUGAGCUUUCUCAAAUUCUGCCCCCUUCAGAUGAAGGCAAGGCAAGUCAUAUGUGCAUGACAAGAGGCUUUCACAGGGUGACAGUCUUUAAGGGCCAAAAUGUUCAUCACAGAUCAGGUUAAACAUUUACAUUUUUAAAAUGAAUCCAUUUUGAAAAUUCUACAGCUCUGUGCACCGAUGUUUAAACCUGCCUCACUCCCACCCUGGGUUUUAAAAACACCUUGGAUUGUGGAAAGCCAUUCCAGCCUUGAAAAAUGAAAAUGCAGUGUGUGGAACAGAUCAUUCAGCCAUUCCUGGCUGAAUUGUUAGAUACAGGAAGUCCAAGCUCUUCUGCUGCCUUAAAUGAACUUCUGGCAUAAGUUGGAUUAGACAACAAAUGUCCUCCAUGAGGGGAAGAAGGACUCUUGAUUAAAUGCCUGAACGAGGAAUCUUAUUUCUCUAUCACACAUGCUCUUGUCCAGAGUAUUUCUGGAGAAUCUGAGACAAUCAGUGGAUAUCUGAUUUUGAAAUGAUUGUUUCAACUUCAGCGUACAGAAGCAGAAAAAGGAGCAUAAUACUGUUUUAGAGCCAUCUACCAUACAGAACAUCCUCUGGCACUCAAAUCAGUACAUACGUUUUAUAACCCUUGAGAAUACAUUUGAUCUGUGAAGAGUUGGGUUGCUUGGAAGGUUGUUAAUAGCCUGGAAUGCUUCUGUGCUGUAAUUGAGAGAGCAACCUUCUCUCACAUUAUUAAAAGACUAAUGUCAGAUAAGCAGAUUUUUGAAUACUUUUACCGCUUCCAUUUUUUGACUAAGGAAUUCCUUAGGUAGAGAUAUAGCGCACAUCAAAACCCCAGAAGAGCCAGAUUUCACAGAUGAUAAUCUGGAUCAUUGACCAGAUGUGACAGUGUGUGAUUGAAGAGUCUGAGGAAUCUGAGGCAGUGAUGAUAAAAAGUAUACUGAAUACUGAAACAAAAUACACAGAUUGCAAAAGUAGAGUCAUUUGGGCUGGAAAUUUUGUGAGCUUUUCCUAUCAUUAAAGGAGAUAAUUGUACCGGGAUGGGAGGAGAAUAGUGGCUUCUACUGUUUCAAAAGUGUGGAAAUUAAGUUUAACUGAGAAAUAAACUUCAGUUCUGAACAUAAGCGUAGAGGAAA
rnacentral:lncRNA from 1 species